rnacentral:rRNA from 1 species
UACGGGGGGGGUAAGCGUUGUUCGGAAUUACUGGGCGUAAAGGGCUCGUAGGCGGCCAACUAAGUCGGACGUGAAAUCCCUCAGCUUAACUGGGGAACUGCGUCCGAUACUGGAUGGCUUGGAUUCGGGAGAGGAAUGCGGAAUUCCAGGUGUAGCGGUGAAAUGCGUAGAUAUCUGGAGGAGCACCGGUGGCGAAGGCGGCAUUCUGGACCGACAUUGACGCUGAGGAGCGAAAGCCAGGGGAGCAAACGGG